rnacentral:rRNA from 1 species
ACAACAGCUAGAGUUUGAUCCUGGCUCAGGAUGAACGCUGGCGGCGUGCCUAACACAUGCAAGUCGAGCGAACUCUUCGGAGUGAGCGGCGGACGGGUGAGUAACGCGUGGGUAACCUGCCCUGUACACAUGGAUAACAUACCGAAAGGUAUGCUAAUACAAGAUAAAAUAUAUUUAUCGCAUGAUAGAUAUAUCAAAGCGUUAGCGGUACAGGAUGGACCCGCGUCUGAUUAGCUAGUUGGUAAGGUAAAGGCUUACCAAGGCGACGAUCAGUAGCCGACCUGAGAGGGUGAUCGGCCACAUUGGAACUGAGACACGGUCCAAACUCCUACGGGAGGCAGCAGUGGGGAAUAUUGCACAAUGGGCGAAAGCCUGAUGCAGCAACGCCGCGUGAGCGAAGAAGGCCUUCGGGUCGUAAAGCUCUGUCCUCAAGGAAGAUAAUGACGGUACUUGAGGAGGAAGCCCCGGCUAACUACGUGCCAGCAGCCGCGGUAA